rnacentral:rRNA from 1 species
GCCUGGUAGUGGGGGAUAACGUUCGGAAACGGACGCUAAUACCGCAUACGUCCUACGGGAGAAAGCAGGGGACCUUCGGGCCUUGCGCUAUCAGAUGAGCCUAGGUCGGAUUAGCUAGUUGGUGGGGUAAUGGCUCACCAAGGCGACAAUCCGUAACUGGUCUGAGAGGAUGAUCAGUCACACUGGAACUGAGACACGGUCCAGACUCCUACGGGAGGCAGCAGUGGGGAAUAUUGGACAAUGGGCGAAAGCCUGAUCCAGCCAUGCCGCGUGUGUGAAGAAGGUCUUCGGAUUGUAAAGCACUUUAAGUUGGGAGGAAGGGUUGUAGAUUAAUACUCUGCAAUUUUGACGUUACCGACAGAAUAAGCACCGGCUAACUCUGUGCCAGCAGCCGCGGUAAUACAGAGGGUGCAAGCGUUAAUCGGAAUUACUGGGCGUAAAGCGCGCGUAGGUGGUUUGUUAAGUUGGAUGUGAAAUCCCCGGGCUCAACCUGGGAACUGCUUUCAAAACUGACUGACUAUAGUAUGGGUAGAGGGGGGGGGGAA